rnacentral:RNase_P_RNA from 1 species
GGAGCAUGGCACGCGGCCGCUGUCGGUUAACGCCGAUGGAGGAAAGUCCGGACACCGCAGGGCAGGGAGGUCGUUAACAACGACCGGGGGCGACCUCAGGGACAGGGCAACAGAAAAUAUACCGCCUUCCGUCCGAAAGGGCGGAUGGUAAGGGUGAAAUGGCGUGUUAAGAGCACGCCGGUCCGGCAGGCGACUGUCGGGCUUGGCAACCCCCUCCCGGUGCAAGGCCAAAUAGGCUCUGUUUUAAGGACGGCCCGUCCUUUUUUCCGUAAGGAAUGGCAGAGCGGGUUGGCCGCUCGAGGCCGGCGGCAACGCCGGUCCCAGAUGAAUGGCCGCGCUCCCGCGAAAGCGGGAUUACAGAAUCCGGCUUACACGCCAUGCUCCGGUG